CGCUCCACUACCCUCUCCCAAAUCUUCAUCGUGUGACUCAACAACUUAAUACCACGGUAAUUGUUGCAACUCUGAAUGUCACCUUUGUUUUUAUACAGGAAUCAUUGUGCUCCAUCUCCACGCCUCGGGCAUCUUAGCAGAUUUGAAGAUAUUGUUAAACAAAUGGGUUAGCCACCUCAACCGUGCACCGCUAGCAAACUUCCAAAAAUCCAACGGAAUCUCAUCAGGCCCUGUAGCCCUGCCCCUCCGCAUCUUGCGAAUAGCCUCACAGACUUCCUCCACCUUAAAACGCCGACAAUAUCCAAAAUCAUGAGACUCCUCAGUGUGCUCCAGCUCUCCUAACAUAAUACCUCGGUCCCCCUUAUCGUUCAAGAGCUUAUGGAAAUACGACUGGCAUCUUUUCUAAAUUAGAGCGUCCUCCACCAAAACUCUAUCAUCCUCCCCCUUAAUGCACUUCACUUGGUCCAAAUCCCGUCCCUUAUGCUCCCUAGACUUGGCAAGCCUAAACAACUUCUUUUCCCCACC
rnacentral:lncRNA from 1 species